rnacentral:rRNA from 1 species
UGGGGAAUUUUGGACAAUGGGCGCAAGCCUGAUCCAGCCAUGCCGCGUGCGGGAAGAAGGCCUUCGGGUUGUAAACCGCUUUUGUCAGGGAAGAAAUCUUCUGAGUUAAUACCUCGGGAGGAUGACGGUACCUGAAGAAUAAGCACCGGCUAACUACGUGCCAGCAGCCGCGGUAAUACGUAGGGUGCAAGCGUUAAUCGGAAUUACUGGGCGUAAAGCGUGCGCAGGCGGUUUUGUAAGACAGAGGUGAAAUCCCCGGGCUCAACCUGGGAACUGCCUUUGUGACUGCAAGGCUUGAGUGCGGCAGAGGGGGAUGGAAUUCCGCGUGUAGCAGUGAAAUGCGUAGAUAUGCGGAGGAACACCGAUGGCGAAGGCAAUCCCCUGGGCCUGCACUGACGCUCAUGCACGAAAGCGUGGGGAGCAAACAGGAUUAGAUAGCCCUGGUAGUCCACGCCCUAAACGAUGUCAACUGGUUGUUGGGAAGGUUCCUUCUCAGUAACGUAGCUAACGCGUGAAGUUGACCGCCUGGGGAGUACGGCCGCAAGGUUGAAACUUAAAUG